rnacentral:rRNA from 1 species
UACGUAGGCAGCAAGCGUUGUUCGGAGUUACUGGGCGUAAAGAGUGCGUAGGUGGUGCCCUAAGUCUGUUGUGAAAUCUCCCGGCUUAACUGGGAGGGUGCGGUGGAAACUGGGGUGCUUGAGUGUGGGAGAGGUAAGCGGAAUUCCUGGUGUAGCGGUGAAAUGCGUAGAUAUCAGGAGGAACACCGGUGGCGAAGGCGGGUCUCUGGGCCGUAACUGACGCUGAGGAGCGAAAGCGUGGGGAGCGAACAGG